AUGUAAAACACUUUCAGCAAGGGAAAAGAUUAUAUAAAUAAUACUUAUAUUAACUGAUAUUACCUGCAAAAGAAGUACCGGCUAACUCCGUGCCAGCAGCCGCGGUAAUACGGAGGGUACAAGCGUUAAUCGGAAUUAUUGGGCGUAAAGAGUACGUAAGUGGUAUAUUAAGUCAGAUGUGAAAUACUUAAGCUUAACUUAAGAACUGCAUUUGAAACUAAUAAACUAGAGUUUUAUAGAGGGGAGUAGAAUUCCACAGUGUAGCGGUGAAAUGCGUAGAUAUUUGGAGGAAUACCAGAGGCGAAGGCGACUCCCUGGGUAAUAACUGACACUGAGGUACGAAAGCUUGGGGAGCAAACAGGAUUAGAUACCCUGGUAGUCCAUGCUGUAAACGAUGUCAAUUUCGAAGAUUGUAAUAUUAUUAUUUUUUAUAAUUUUCGUAGCUAACGCAUUAAUUGACCGCCUGGGGAUUACGACCCGCAAGGUUAAACACUCAAAUUGAA
rnacentral:rRNA from 1 species